rnacentral:rRNA from 1 species
GACGAACGCUGGCGGCGUGCCUAACACAUGCAAGUCGAACGGAAAGGCCCUGCUUUUGUGCGGCGCUCGUGUGGCGAGGGGGUGAGUAACACGUGAGUAACCUGUCCUUGACUUUGGGAUAAAUUCAGGAAAAUGGGGCUCAUAUACGAUAGGAGAUCUUGAAGCACGGUGGGGGUUGGUAAGUUUCGGCGGUUGGGGAUGGACUCGCGGCAUCUCAGCUUGUUGGUGGGGUAGGGGCUUACCAAGGCUUUGACGGGUAGCCGGCCUGAGAGGGUGACCGGCCACAUUGGGACUGAGAUACGGCCCAGACUCCUACGGGAGGCAGCAGUGGGGAAUAUUGCACAAUGGGCGGAAGCCUGAUGCAGCAACGCCGCGUGCGGGAUGACGGCCUUCGGGUUGUAAACCGCUUUCGCCUGUGACGAAGCGUGAGUGACGGUAAUGGGUAAAGAAGCACCGGCUAACUACGUG